UAUUGGUCAAUAGCCUAACGGCUGAACCAGCAACUUGGAGGAAUGUAUAGGGAAAACUGGUAAAAUGUGAUGUACCUAGUAGUAUUAGCGAUAAAUAUGAGAUUAACUAAGUUAAUUAAAAUUCUAAGUAGGUAUUGAUUAUGACAAUAUCUGCUGAGGUCUUGACCAAGUCACGUGCCAGCAGUCGCGGUAAUACGUGGAAGACGAGUGUUAUUCAUCUUUAAAAGGUUUAAAGGGUACCUAGACGGUUAAUUAAGCAAAUAUAUGUACUAAUUAACUAGGGUUUAAUGUAAGAAGGUCUAGUACAGUGAGUGGAGAGAUAGAAUUCUUUGAUACCACUAAGGAACUGGUAAGGGCGAAGGCAACUUCUAUGAAAAAAACUGACGUUAAGGGACGAAGGCUCAAAGAAAAUAAUAGGAUUAGAUACCCUAGUAUUGUGAGCAGAAAAUGAUGAGUGUCAUAUACAGGAAAUUGACAGGAAACUUUGUGUAUAUAAAUGAAAGUGUAAGCACUCCACCUCAAGAGUAACGUGGCAACACGGGAACUGAAAUCAUUAGACCGUUUCUGAAACUCGUAGUGAAGUAUGUUGUUUAAUUUGAUGACCCACAAAUAACCUUACCACAAUUUGUAUAACUAUACUACAAUAUAAUAUAGUUACAAGCGUUGCACGGCUGUCUUCAGUCAAUGUUGUGAAAUUUUGGUUAGAUCCAUUUAAUUGACGUAAACCUUUACUUUAUUUAUUAUAAAGUAGUUCGCCGCUAUAUUGGUAGUGAUAUAUGGGAUUAGGACAAGUCAUCAUGACCUGAACAUUGUGGGCUAUAGAC
rnacentral:rRNA from 1 species